ACUAGCCAAAGAUCGCAGCAACUGCCUACUAUCACGCUCUCUAGAUGCUUCAGGAAAACCAUAAAAACCAGUAAGAUACCAAUGAAUAUGGUCAGAAUUCUCAGUAAUUAAAUCGAUGUGAUUUGAAGAAUAACCAAUAGCUGAAACAUUAUCAACAGAAUUCCAUAAAAAAGCAAGACCAUCGCUAUGUCCAAUUCUAUCAACAUUAAAAUAAUGAUCAUACUGCAAAGCCACACGAAGCUCUUCAAUUUUAUUAGAAUGCACUAGCAUUUGAGACAAGAAAAUUGAAAUUGGGCUUAUUAGAAAAGACGAUCUCUUUUAAAG
rnacentral:lncRNA from 1 species